AGAGUUUGAUCAUGGCUCAGGAUGAACGCUAGCUACAGGCUUAACACAUGCAAGUCGAGGGGAAACGAUAUUGGAAGCUUGCUUCCGAUAGGCGUCGACCGGCGCACGGGUGAGUAACGCGUAUCCAACCUGCCCACCACUUGGGGAUAACCUUGCGAAAGUAAGACUAAUACCCAAUGACGUCUCUAGAAGACAUCUGAAGGAGAUUAAAGAUUUAUCGGUGAUGGAUGGGGAUGCGUCUGAUUAGCUUGGUUGGCGGGGUAACGGCCACCAAGGCACGAUCAGUAGGGGUUCUGAGAGGAAGGUCCCCCANAUUGGAACUGAGACACGGUCCAAACUCCUACGGGAGCA
rnacentral:rRNA from 1 species